CCUACGGGAGGCAGCAGUGGGGAAUUUUGGACAAUGGGGGAAACCCUGAUCCAGCCAUCCCCCGUGUGCGAUGAAGGCCUUCGGGUUGUAAAGCACUUUUGGCAGGGAAGAAAUAGCUUGGGCUAAUACCCUGAGCAGAUGACGGUACCUGCAGAAUAAGCACCGGCUAACUACGUGCCAGCAGCCGCGGUAAU
rnacentral:rRNA from 1 species